UACGUAGGCAGCAAGCGUUGUUCGGAGUUACUGGGCGUAAAGGGUGCGUAGGCGGCUUCUUAAGUCUGGUGUGAAAUCUCCCGGCUCAACUGGGAGGGUGCGCCGGAUACUGAGGGGCUAGAGUGUGGGAGAGGAAAGUGGAAUUCCUGGUGGAGCGGUGAAAUGCGUAGAGAUCGGAAAGAACACCAACGGCGAAAGCACUCUGCUGGGCCGACACUGACACUGAGAGACGAAAGCUAGGGGAGCGAAUGGG
rnacentral:rRNA from 1 species